AUUGAACGCUGGCGGCAGGCCUAACACAUGCAAGUCGAGCGGAUGACGGGAGCUUGCUCCUGGAUUCAGCGGCGGACGGGUGAGUAAUGCCUAGGAAUCUGCCUGGUAGUGGGGGACAACGUUUCGAAAGGAACGCUAAUACCGCAUACGUCCUACGGGAGAAAGCAGGGGACCUUCGGGCCUUGCGCUAUCAGAUGAGCCUAGGUCGGAUUAGCUAGUUGGUGAGGUAAUGGCUCACCAAGGCGACGAUCCGUAACUGGUCUGAGAGGAUGAUCAGUCACACUGGAACUGAGACACGGUCCAGACUCCUACGGGAGGCAGCAGUGGGGAAUAUUGGACAAUGGGCGAAAGCCUGAUCCAGCCAUGCCGCGUGUGUGAAGAAGGUCUUCGGAUUGUAAAGCACUUUAAGUUGGGAGGAAGGGCAGUAAGCGAAUACCUUGCUGUUUUGACGUUACCGACAGAAUAAGCACCGGCUAACCCUGUGCCAGCAGCCGCAGUAAGAC
rnacentral:rRNA from 1 species